ACAUCGCAAUUUACCAUCGAUUCCACAACCAAUUCCGACGAAUGUUGAAUAUUUAGCUCUUUGGGGCAACAGGAUUUCAAGCAUCAAUGAAGGAGCAUUCACGGGGCUUUCAAAUUUAAAGGGAUUAGAUCUGCAAUGGAACAACAUUGCAACCAUCAAGAAGGUACAUUCACGGGGCAUUCGAAUUUAAAG